GAAUUUUAGGGCCUAGGCUCUGUUGCUCUGUUUCCUGUCUGGAUGGUUUAAAGGGAAGAGUGUGCUCCACAUAUGGUCAUGGUUUCACACAGCCCUGGAGGAACCUGAGGUCUGAGCAUGUGAAUCCUAGUUCCUACUUACUUUGUUUUCCAGAAAUUAUUAACCAAGGCCAUCCCUGUGGAUCUUAUUAGAACCAGGUGCAGGCGAUCCACUUACUUAAGGAAACUUUCCCAUAACUGAGUGUACCGGCGAGACCAGGAUUGAAGGGUCAAGUUCAUAGGAGAUAUUCAGAGGAGGUUCGAGGCUGUCUGGCAGUUGACCUGUCUCAGUCUGAUGAACAGAAGAGGGCGGUGGAAAGUAGAUUUAAAUAGGCCAGAGUGAAGUUGUAGAAGAGCUGAUGGACUCUAGCGACAAGAAGAAAGACAGGAAGCCAGAAGAAGCCAGGCUGCCAGUGCCUGCCAAUCACGUGCUGGGCUGAGCAGUUCGUAAACAUUAAAGAGUUUGACUGGCAGCUCCCCUUAGAUAAGAACACAUUCAUCCUGCUGGGUGCAGUCCAAUCUACAUGUGCAGACAGAAGCAAUGGAUCCCGCUGAUGCACUGUGGCCAGACAAGAUCAUCUCUUCUGAGGGCAGGUUGGGUGGAGGUGUGGGAGCCGGAGGAACUAAUAAAGGAAGAAAGGAAAAGAGAGCAGACCUGAAUACUGACCUACUGUGAAGCUCGGAGGACAAUGGGAAAAUCCCCGCCGGGGUCUGGCCAGGUUCUGCCUCCAUCCAUCCCCUUCUGUGACUGCACAGAAGUGUCCAGAGAUCGCGUCAUUCCAUCACGUCCCGAAAGCGGUCGCCUGUCAUCUCUGAUGCCCUUUCUCCUGUGCCUGGCACACAUGCUUUCUCCUUCCAGAUUCAGGUGUUGUGUGACAUAGCCAAGGGAACGAGCAUUAACAGCCUGUCUCUGUGUGUGUGUGUGUGUGUGUGUGUGUGUGUGUGUGUGUGUGUGAGAGAGAGAGAGAGAGAGAGAGAGAGAGACAGACAGACAGACAGACAGACAG